CCUACGGGAGGCAGCAGUGGGGAAUAUUGCACAAUGGGGGAAACCCUGAUGCAGCGACGCCGCGUGAGUGAAGAAGUAUUUCGGUACGUAAAGCUCUAUCAGCAGGGAAGAAAAUGACGGUACCUGACUAAGAAGCCCCGGCUAACUACGUGCCAGCAGCCGCGGUAAUACGUAGGGGGCAAGCGUUAUCCGGAUUUACUGGGUGUAAAGGGAGCGUAGACGGCAGCGCAAGUCUGGAGUGAAAUCCCAUGGCUUAACCAUGGAACUGCUUUGGAAACUGUGCAGCUAGAGUGCAGGAGAGGUAAGCGGAAUUCCUAGUGUAGCGGUGAAAUGCGUAGAUAUUAGGAGGAACACCAGUGGCGAAGGCGGCUUACUGGACUGUAACUGACGUUGAGGCUCGAAAACGUGGGGAGCAAACAGGAUUAGAUACCCCUGUAGUC
rnacentral:rRNA from 1 species